UGCUCUCAGGAUCUUGCCACUGUUCUC
rnacentral:piRNA from 1 species